UACGUAGGGUGCGAGCGUUAAUCGGAAUUACUGGGCGUAAAGCGUGCGCAGGCGGUUCUCCAAGUCCGUUGUGAAAGCCCCGGGCUCAACCUGGGAAUGGCAGUGGAAACUAGGGGACUGGAAUCUGGCAGAGGGGGGUGGAAUGCCGCGUAUAGCAGUGAAAUGCGUAGAGAUGCGGCGGAACACCGAUGGCGAAGGCAGCCCCCUGGGCUGAGAUUGACGCUCAGGCACGAAAGCGUGGGGAGCAAACAGG
rnacentral:rRNA from 1 species